GCCAGUCCCUGACAUAUGAAAAAAUUGGAACAAUACAGAGAAGGGCUUUUUUGCCUUUGUCAAUGAUUUCACUGUAAUUCCCAGAGUGGUUGAUCUGUCCAUUUGUGGAAAAUUUCCCCUUUUGGAUACUCUAAUAUUUUGACCUGGUCAGUGUCCAGGUCAAAAAUAUAUAAUAUUGUUCAGUUAGCAUGGCCCCUGCACAAGGAUGACACACUUUCCUGGAGUGGUAGAUCUAUGGAUCUCAAUAUUUAU
rnacentral:snRNA from 1 species